GGGCAGAUAGCUCAGUUGGUAGAGCACAGCAUUGAAAAUGCUGGGGUCCCCAGUUCAACCCUGGGUCUGCCCACCA
rnacentral:tRNA from 2 species